UAUAUAUAUACACACACUCUCUCAGAUAAUAGUAUUCAUGCAUAGAUAAGCAUGGAUGUGAUGCAUUGCGAGUACAGUGCAGUGCUUAUUUUUGGAUUUAGUGUAUAUUGGAGAGUAGUGAGUUACUUGUUGUUCCUUAAUAGGAGAACAGCAUGCUUUGCUUUCGCGAAUGCUCGCUGUUCAGUUUUAAAUGUUCAUAAUUUGUCUUUUUGUUACCUUCCCUGAUCGAAAUUAGUGUACAAAGAGCAAGCGUUGAAUAUAGCUUAAUGUUUGAUAAUCAAUUUCUAUUUAGUAAAACUCUUACUACUAACAGUAUUUGUACUGUUUAAUGAAACUGCAAUACAAUCUAAAUAGUUGUUGAUUUUUUGGUUUGUUUGUUUGUGUCCGUGUAUUUUGAGUUUGUUUGAUUGGGUUGUUUUUAAUUUUCCUAGUUGUGUAGAAGUAUGGUGGGCAUGGCUUUGACUAGAUGAAGACAAAAAUGCAAGUAGGUCUUUGAUUCAUGGUAUGGAUUCAUCUUAGCCGGAAAAGACCAUGCAGUAUUUGAUAUAGACUCAUAUAUAUAUCGGAGUAUAUAUAUAUAUAUAUACAUAUAUAUUACAUAGAGCUAGUCUAUUUAGUGCUGAAGCUUGACAAAGGUGUGAGUUUUACAGUGCAAUUUUCUCAUUUAUGCAUGUGUGACAACUUUAACUUCCCCUCCCCUCCUCACCCUCCUCUUUAUUUUACCAUUUGUUUCAAAGCUUAUUGGUGUCGACUGCUUAUUUUAUACAUUCCGUCAGGGAGAAAAGUAUAUAUAUAUGCUGUGUGGGUUUUUAAUUUUCCAGUUUGUUUUGCUAGUUGCGUGUGUAAAGGUUGUUUUGUGUUUUUUUUUUUUUGUCUCUUACUUUCAAAAUGAAGUUGCUUGUGGAGCACCAAAGACUGUAAUUCAUUUCCUGAGCAAGGUAGCUACUCGUUUGUUCGUUUUGUUUUUUCUGCAUAGACCUCAAGUAUACUGUAGGAAUUAUAGUCACGGGGUAAAUUAAAUGGUAAAAAAAGCGGCUGAGGUUAUGUUUAGCUUCUUGAGCGAGUAAUAAGUCGUAUCAUUUAUCUUGAAUGUAUCAUAGAUUAAGCUGCUAUGUAAUGAUUGCCACUUCAAAUAGCUGUGAAAUGAGGUGAUUUUGUUUUCUCUUUGUUCAUACCUAGCAUUCUUUUUUUUGUGUAGGUCUCUCUAAUUACCUGAAAUAGAAGUGUUUUUUCCUGAUUUUUAAUAUAUAUUUUUGGCUUUCAUUGGUUGGAGUGUCAUUGUAACUACUGUAAUGCUGAUAAUGGAUAUUAGUUGCAUCUGUUUAUGUUUUAGGGUGUGUGUUUGUUUGGAAUCAGUAUUUUAUCCUCAUUAACCUUUUUGGGCUCAUCACUGCAUAUAAAUGGAUGUAUCGAUGUAACUUAAUUUUUGUAUGUUUUCAUAUUGGUGUUUUUGUUUGUGUUGACAUGUAACAGUUCUAGCUUGCAGGAUUGAUUUAACUUUUUACGUUCUAGUAGUUCAGAUUCUACUAACAGACUUUAGACUUUGAAUGGGGCUCUGCACUGCUCUGAGAUGUCUUUCGAGUGAAUGAUACUGGUGAAGGGACUGUGUGCGAUUGCUUUUGUUACAUCACUCGUCACGAAGCACUUCUUAGUCAAUGCAGGAGUUUCCGUUGGAAUUGGGGGUCACCUAGGGUUGCUUUCUGUGUCGAGGAUAUGAGAUAUGAACUUGUCUCUCGCGUACCAAACCAUGAAAUCUUUACUGUACUUCUCUUUUCUUUUUUUUUUCUUUCUUUUUUUUUUUACCUGAGAUCCAAUUCUGUCCCAUUCAAACUGUUAAUGUAUCUGUUGAUCAAUUAACUAGUGUGGAAAGAGGAAAGGCGGGGAAAGAAUCAGUUGUUUAAUAUCAAAAACAGAACUUGUAAGAGCAAACCAUGCCAGUUCCUUGUUUUUCCACGCUGAUGUUGAUGGUGUUAUUUACUGUUUACGUGCCUUGAGAAUUUGUGGUUAAGAGCAUUGAAAAGAAUGUUGCUGCCCUCUCUUGCUCUCUCUCUCUCUCUUUCUCCAUCUCUCCCCGUGCUGGUGAGGUGGUGUAUCGAGAUCCAUUACAGAUCAGUUUACCCAUGCAAAAAGGAUACAAUACACACACAUGCACAUACACGAGGGACAGAUCGACCAAAAAACACAAAAUAGACAAAAAAAUUACUAUUUCAGUCAUUCCAGGGAUCGAAAUACACCUUAAGGAAAAAUGUUGUUACUUGCCAGCUUCUGCAAGCUCCCUAGACUGUUCUAUUGUCCACAGCAGAAGUAAAAAGAGAGAGGAAAAAAAAACCUUGAGAAGAAUAGACCUCAAGCAGAAAGGGCACCUGCGCCCCACUGUUGAAACCUGCUCUUUUUUCUUGUAGCUCGGUGACUGGGUAUUGCUAUACUGUUAAUUUGUUGUUCGUGCUGGACACGUGGCCUGGUAGUUUUGGCCUUGCAGUCUUUGCACUCUUUUUAAGUGUUCUUAGAUCUCACUGGGGUCCAGCUCUGCACCUGUCCGACACAGAUUCACAUGUAUACACACACACACACACACCGCAGUGACCUGCUGUCUCACACCGCGCACACGCACCGUGCAUGUCUGUAGUGAGGUCCACCCAUGUGUAGUUAUAGUUUUUGAGUGCCACCGUUGAACACUCUCCAACUCCUAGGGCUGUACAAAACAAGGCCGACCUUGCCUUUGUCCUGUGGUGUGCAAACUUUGACUAGCUUCUUGAGCUGCUCUGUGCUUUAACAGUAGGUGUUGUGGAAUACACUGUUUGGUUGGUAGUGACUCACUAGUGAUCACUAGUGAUCAUCUUGACUGUUGAGGAAUGGCCAAAGACCAGUGGUUCUUUUUUUCCCGACUGAUCUGAAAAGCAUGGCCUUUGUCUCUUCCUCCCCCAAAUGCUUCAUGUCUAAACCAUAGCUGUAUUUCGAUUCCUGAAGUGGCAAUCACCAGCGACUAUUCAUGCACAGUUUCCGAUGUUCUGUAUAUUUAAUGAAAAUCAACGGGACAAUUGUUUAUUUCACUAAUCAGCAGUACGAAUAUGAAAAACGUAUUUUAUCUGUUUUUUCUUUUUCUUUUAACAAGACGUGUUAAAAACGGCCGUUUUUAAUUGCCUCUAUGAUUGCUUUUAACAUUUGAUUUGACACCUUUCAAAUGGUAUUAUGCUCUUAAAGUGAAUUCAGGGUCUUUAUAUUAAUCUGACAUUGCUACUGUUAUCCUGAUGCCCAUACUACUCAUUUGAGCGGCUUAUUUUUGAUCUACUUCUAACAGUUAUACAGGUUGCUUUAAGAACUCACUUAAGUCUGAAAAAGUUAAUUCACGCUGCAAGUUAUAGAAUCACCAUUUUAAGAUUACUCAUCGAAGAGGCUUGAUUACUCGAUCUAAACUGUUACUGUUUUAAGGAUUCUUGGAUUUUAUUUCUGUGGCUUUAUUCUUUUCUUUUUUUUUUUCCCUUUUUGAUUUGCUCUUUUUUGGGUUUAUGCUACACUAGUUUGCUAUGUAGCAAUUGCACUGUGCAAUAUUUGACAGAAUGAGGACUGGGAAAAAAUACCCUCUGUAAUGUCUACAGUUUGCGAUAGUGUUUCCUCUCUAGUUCUCAGUCAUUUAGAUGUGACCAAGCCUUCUCUCCUUUGUCACAUUGAGCGGGUUUUCCAGGUGACUAUUUUGGUGAGUGUCAAAAUAAAACUUUAUGGUGUAUUAUCGUCAAGAUUCACUUUGAAUUAAAAAAAAAAAUCUAUUGCUGCAGUCUGUCUGAAGUCUGUGUUUCAUUAUUGUCUGGG
ensembl:lncRNA